ACUCCUGKAGUGAGUGUCACGUCAAAUUGCAAAUUUGAAAAAGUUCCUAUUUGGUUCCAGGGCUU
rnacentral:tRNA from 1 species